UACGUAGGGGGCGAGCGUUGUCCGGAAUUACUGGGCGUAAAGGGCGCGUAGGCGGCCCGUUAAGUCCGCUGUGAAAGACCGAGGCUCAACCUCGGGGUGUCAGCGGAGACUGUCGGGCUGGAGUCUCGGAGAGGGAUGCGGAAUUCCUGGUGUAGCGGUGGAAUGCGUAGAUAUCUGGAGGAAUACCGGUGGCGAAGGCGGCAUCCUGGACCGACAUUGACGCUGAACGGCGAAAGCUAGGGGAGCAAACGGG
rnacentral:rRNA from 1 species